rfam:Triticum aestivum genome assembly, contig: Triticum_aestivum_CS42_TGACv1_scaffold_221289_3B
AUAGUACCUCCCUGCGUCCCAAAUUUUUUAUCUUAGAUUUGUCUAGAUACAGAUGUAUAUAAUACUAAAACGUGACUUGAUACAUCCGUAUUUAGACAAAUAUAAGACAAGCUUUUUGAGACGAAGGGAGUACCUG